UAAAAGAAGCUGGCUUUUGUCUGUGUUUGUGGUCAAACCCAGAAAAUACUUGGAAAAGACAGAGGAUGCUACACUGAAAAUUUGAAAGCUGCAAUCAGUGCUAUGAGCUGCUUGGAAACUUUUCAGGUGAGCAGUGCUUGGCUGCAGAACUAAUGGGAGAGUGAAAAGUAAAUGAGAG